GGGCCCGCACAAGCGGAGGAGCAUGUGGUUUAAUUCGAUGAUACGCGAGGAACCUUACCUAGACUUGAACGCAGGGAGAAUAUAUAAGAAAUUAUAUAGCUAGCAAUAGCUGCCUGCGAGGUGCUGCAUGGUUGUCGUCAGCUCGUGCCGUGAGGUGUUAGGUUAAGUCCUGCAACGAGCGCAACCCUUACCGUUAGUUACCAGCAUGUAAUGAUGGGGACUCUAGCGGAACUGCCCGCGCAAGCGUGGAGGAAGGUGGGGAUGACGUCAAAAAUCAGCACGGCCCUUACGUCUAGGGCGACACACGUGCUACAAUGGUUGGUACAGAGGGCAGCUACCCCGCGAGGGGAUGCGAAUCUCUAAAGCCAAUCUCAGUUCGGAUCGGAGUCUGCAACUCGACUCCGUGAAGUUGGAUUCGCUAGUAAUCGCGCAUCAGCCAUGGCG
rnacentral:rRNA from 1 species